AGGAACAUAGCUCAAAUGGCAGAGCGACAGAUUUUUAAUCUGUAGGUGCAGGCUCAAACCCUGCUGUUUUUA
rnacentral:tRNA from 1 species